GACGAACGCUGGCGGCGUGCUUAACACAUGCAAGUCGAACGGUGAUGCUCCAGCUUGCUGGAGUGGAUCAGUGGCGAACGGGUGAGUAACACGUGAGCAACCUGCCCCAGACUCUGGAAUAAGCGCUGGAAACGGCGUCUAAUACUGGAUACGAAACUGGCCCGCAUGGGCAUGGUUUGGAAAGUUUUUCGGUUUGGGAUGGGCUCGCGGCCUAUCAGCUUGUUGGUGAGGUAAUGGCUCACCAAGGCGACGACGGGUAGCCGGCCUGAGAGGGCGACCGGCCACACUGGGACUGAGACACGGCCCAGACUCCUACGGGAGGCAGCAGGGGGGAAUAUUGCACAAUGGGCGAAAGCCUGAUGCAGCGACGCCGCGUGAGGGAGGACGGCCUUCGGGUUGUAAACCUCUUUCAGCAGGGAAGAAGCGAAAGGGACGGUACCUGCAGAAGAAGCACCGGCUAACUACGU
rnacentral:rRNA from 1 species